UGCUGCUUUUCAAGGGAAGGGAGAACACGAGCAAGAAAAGUAGACAGAAAUGGGCAUGACUGGAACAAGUAGAACUGAUCAAGGUAAAUAGAGACAUAAACAGAGAAAGUAAUUUGAAGGACAUUGUGUUAACACACACAAGAAUGUGUACACACACACACACACACACACACUUGCACAUACACAUUUCAUCUUGUCUUCUGGACGAUGACAUUCAGGAAUAAGUUCUUCAGUUUGGGAAAUAGCUGCCCAGAGCUGUGACUGAGAAAUGUGUUUCAGCUUAAAGAGACUAGACUAACAUGUGGUUAAGGGACUCUUGCGAAAUGAGCAGAACCAAGGGUGCACUGAGUGUGCACAGAGGCAGGUAUUAGAGGCUGUGUAACAGGGUGGGUGGUCUGUGCAUUGACCUGGCUUCACUCCUUUGACUGGUUGUGACUCUGCAUAAGCCAUUUAAUACACAGCAAAAGAUAGAUGCUUGAAAACUGCUUUCAUACAUACAGAUUUAUUCAUGUUGACAACCUCUGCAUGCCACUCAGUAAAAAUUUCCAGGCUACUUACAAUAAUAGCGAAACAGAAGGAU
rnacentral:lncRNA from 1 species